AAGAAGAACCAUGCACGUCCAGGUGUGCGGCGUUCUAGGUGAUAUUUCUGUUGGAUUAGAAAUAAUACAUAGAGAAGCAACACUCUCGCGUUCUGAAGCGCGGCCGCCAUUUUUAAUCGGACCCGAUGGUUUUCGGCAAAUAUCUCCGCGAAAACAGCACCAAAAACCAUGACCAAGGUACCGUUCUUUUCAGCAAGACGAGACGUUUACAAAGAGCUAAGCAAACGACGGAUACGUCGUGUUUCCGCCGAGAUAUUUCGCCGAGCCAGAAGCCUGCUUUCAGCGCCUAACCCACGGGAGGGUUUGUUUAGGGAGAAGAAUCUUUAACAGCAGGAAUUACACCCUCUGGCCUCACUGCAGGAAGCCGCCGAGCUCUCUUCCUGGGCAUCUGAGAACGUGUCUGCAUGUGUGGAAGAAGAUUCAGCCCAUUUUUGGAGGCUGAUGAUCCAAUUGUCAGUGGAAAAGAUUAGGAUGGGCUUGGUGGUGAGAAACAUACCUUCACUCCUUCCUGCAGCAUCUUCUGUUCCUCAGAGCUCCUCGAGAUGCUGAGAGCAAGCCACAUUUUGAGCCAGAAACGGAGCCAGCAUCUGGAAAGUGCUCUGGAUGCAGAGUGGGUGAGAAGGACUGAGCUGGGUGACAGUUUUUUUUUCACGUCACACAAGACACUGUGAACAUCACGCUGGACGACGAGACAAAAUUAUUGCAGAGUUUUUCCUACCUGAAUGAUCUCAGGCCUGAUUGUUGUGAAGCUUACCAGCAUUGUUUUACAUUUAAUAACUCUUUGGUGUUUUUUCAUAGUGCUUGGAGCUGUACUAUUCUAAGUGCCUAUACAGAUCCGUGUACCAUGUAUUUCCUACAUAAAUAAAUAAAUAAAUAAAUAAAUAUAUAAAAAAA